rnacentral:lncRNA from 1 species
UUGUAAGUCUAACAAAUAGCUCAAUCGGGCAGCUCAAUUUUUGGCUGGGGCCAAGCUGACCAUGGACGCCGCCCUGCCAAGAAAUUGAGCCCCUCGCCUUGCCCCGUUGUUUGCAGCGCGCCGCCUUCCAGUCCACCCGCGUGGCUGCUCGCGUGGCGCCUGUCAGCCGCGUGCAGAGCGUGGUGUGCAAGGGUGAGCGUGGCCUUGUGCGAGCAGUCGCGAGCCCGGAGCCUAGAGGCUGGGUCGUCGCGUUUGCUGCUGUAUUGUGCAUGAAUGCAUUAGAAAACAAUAAUGGAUGGAUCCUCUAGGGCCUGACCUUGGUCCUGUGGUUGCCGGCCCACAGCGAGCGCCACCGAGUUCAAGGGUGACCUGCUCAACAAGUCUUACU